CAGGUCACCGUGGUACAAGCUCAGCAAGGACAACCAACUGGCACUCUUCAGAAUACUACACCCGUCCGUGAGAAAGAAGGGUCGGGCCCGGAAGCCAGUCAGCAGGAAGUAGCUCUCCAAAACACGGAGGGUAAACCUAGAGGUGAAUCCGAAGUCAAGAAAGUGAUUGCGGUAUGCCUGAAGCCUGUUACGGUGCCGGAUCCAGGUAAAGGCAGCCACAGCUUUAAAUGAAGACAGGCCGCAGCCAUGCACAUUGCUGUCUCUAUAUCAGAUGAUUCGCUGUUAAAUUGCUCACAAUAAAAUGUUGCAAUUUCCUGCAAA